rnacentral:tRNA from 1 species
GCGUCUGUGGCGUAAUGGAUAACGCAUACCGCUUCUAACGGUGAGAUUGCGGGUUCGAGUCCCGUCAGACGUGCCA